ACUAUGAGAACCCUCUACAUCUCUCUCUCUCAGCCCAGCCAGGUUCCUCUGGGCUGGAGUCCUAUAUCCCUGGCCUCAGCUACAAGGCAUGAGUUCUGGCUGCUCAUGAAACCAGUCCGAACGUAAGGGGCACUACUGCACUGAUAAUCUUGGUUCCUUGUUCAAAGGCACCAAGAGCCACCUCUCCCUAGGCUGCAAUGUGGGAAAUGCCUCACAUACUAUAUGGGAGACUGCAGAGAAGAAAGGGGUCACCAGAACAAUCAGCCCAAACAGGAUAUACAAUGGAAUGUAUGCCAUGAUUACAACUCUGCUAAAAUAUAUCUGCCGGUGGACUAGACCAGGAAAUGAACAAGCAAAAGUGAAAGCAACUGCACGAUUCGGCGGGCUGUCUUCCUGACUCCUGGAAAGCAGUAGAUGAAUAAUUCACGCGUCUUCUGAAGACUCUCAGAAAGCAACUGGCUCUGCUCCAUUAUGAGCAAGUUGAAAAAUUCACAGCCCAGCUGGUCACUCAGAAGAGAUCUGGAGGACAGGGAGACCACCACCAGAGCCUGCAGCAAGUCUUCCAUUUCCUCCUCAUCGGCAAGCCUGUAGGACCUGGGGUAACGCAGGGGGAUCUCACCAGGUCUACUCUGUGUGCUGGUCAGGUGUAUCAGCCUUGGAAUGAUGCACACUUUCCCUGUGUAACCACCAACAGUUUGCAGUUUCUGCUUUAACUGAUGAGCUGUGUUUCGGGCAUAUUCAAGUCCUCCAGGCCAAUCGGGGUCUAUUAAGAUUGUAUAGAGUACCACGGGGCUGUUAACUGCUAUUAGGAGAGCAUCACACAGGACAUUCUGUUCUUUCCUGAAGCCAACAUCACCAGCCCAGCUUCUAGAAAAUAUCACAAUCCCCUGAGAACAAGGAUGUAUCAGGGUCUUCAUUAAACCCUCCAGUUCUUUAUGAUCUGAGAACAGCUUCUUACAGAGGGAUUCUGGUUUAAAUUGUACCUCUUCCUGUGUCACUGAAAAUUCAAGGAAUAGAUGUUACCAAAACUUACAAAAGCAUGUGGAUCAUUAUGUCUGCUAAGUCCUUCAUUUGACCUUCCCUAAGGAGAAACACUUGAACUCAUUGCUACUAAUACCUCCCAACUCAAUUUUAGAAAACAAAUAGUCCCCGAAGUUGAAAUCAAGAGGGAUACCUGGAAACAAAUGUCGUUGCAGAGCCUCCUUAAAUUCGUGGACUUUUAUGGGAUAUCCGGGACUUUUCCGUGCAGAUGAAGCUGAUGAAAUCAGGCAAGAGUUGUAGUCUGUGCCCAAACUGGAAGGAGCUAGACAAUUACACGGAAAGUUGUUUCAGACAAAAAAUAAAAAUUAAAAAAAAAAAAGCCUCUUUUUUUUGGCUCUUCUUACUAGAGACCUGUGACGUGCAUGGGUGCCUGAGCAGUCGUACUUACUAUGCCUCAGACAGCUCCCAUAUGUCAGGAAAGGAAGUCUGGGGAUUCCUGCAGGGGACAUAUCACACAUAUUCUAAGUCACCGUGUGACUCGGCUUGAGCAAGUCAUUUCACCUGUCACGCAGGAGUGAAGUAAUAAUCCCUAAGCUUCCUUUCCAUUAUAAUAUUCUGACUCCAGGUUAUCUCUAAGAAGAAAAGGCAUCUAGUGGGGAUUAGCAAGGAUUAAAGCACAGUAUUUUAAAAAUGGUGUUGGCCAGAUGUGAUGGCUCACGCCUGUAAUCCCAGCACUUUGGGAGGCUGAGGCAGGCGGAUCAUGAGGUCAGGAGGUCAAGACCAUCCUGGCUAACACGGUGAAACCCUGUCUCUACUAAAAACACAAAAAAUUAGCCGGGCAUGGUGGCGGGCGCCUGUAGUCCCAGCUAUUCGGGAGGCUGAGGCAGGGGAAUGGCGUGAACCCAGGAGACAGAGCUUGCAGUGAGCCGAGAUCGUGCCACUGCACUCCAGCCUGGGUGACAGAGCGAAACUCUGUCUCAAAAAAAAAAAAAAAAAAAAAAAAAAAUUAGCUGGGCAUGGUGGUGUGCCUGUAAUCCCAGCUACUCAGGAGGCUGAGGUGGGAGAAUUGCUUGAACCUGGGAGGUGGAGGCUGCAGUGAGCUGAGAUCAUGCCACUGCACUCCAGCCUAGGCAACAAAGCAAGACCCUGUC